AUUGAACGCUGGCGGCAGGCUUAACACAUGCAAGUCGAGCGGAGAGAGGUAGCUUGCUACUGAUCUUAGCGGCGGACGGGUGAGUAAUGCUUAGGAAUCUGCCUAUUAGUGGGGGACAACAUUUCGAAAGGAAUGCUAAUACCGCAUACGUCCUACGGGAGAAAGCAGGGGAUCUUCGGACCUUGCGCUAAUCGAUGAGCCUAAGUCGGAUUAGCUAGUUGGUGGGGUAAAGGCCUGCCAAGGCGACGAUCUGUAGCGGGUCUGAGAGGAUGAUCCGCCACACUGGGACUGAGACACGGCCCAGACUCCUACGGGAGGCAGCAGUGGGGAAUAUUGGACAAUGGGCGGAAGCCUGAUCCAGCCAUGCCGCGUGUGUGAAGAAGGCCUUAUGGUUGUAAAGCACUUUAAGCGAGGAGGAGGCUACUUUAGUUAAUACCUAGAGAUAGUGGACGUUACUCGCAGAAUAAGCACCGGCUAACUCUGUGCCAGCAGCCGCCGUAA
rnacentral:rRNA from 1 species